AGCCUCCGUCGCAAUCCAUUGUUGCGAUUUCUGCCGUUCGGGCCAUGGCGAUCACACGGCGACCGGAGAAUAGCAGACGAGCCGCGCUAUACGAAGGCCGCCGCCCUGGCUAGUCCCUAGGAAGGCCGCGCGAUAGGCGCCCACCUCCCAACGCGUCCUUUCCGCCAGCUCCAAUCUGUUCCGCCGCCACCCGAUCGACCCAACUCGGCAGUCCCCAACUAGGCGACGAGGUAAAUACACGAAAUCCCCUCUUGUUGUGGUUGUACAAAUCGAUAUGCAUGCUUGUUUGGGAUUUCUUGCAAACUUGAAUGAUUACUGCUUAGUAGUUUUGACCUCAAGAUCUAGGUAAUUGGCUGAAGAACAUUAUGUUGUCCGUCAGAAUAUAUCACUAAUUCAACUGCCGGUUCCAC
rnacentral:sRNA from 1 species